rnacentral:rRNA from 1 species
AUUGAACGCUGGCGGCAUGCCUUACACAUGCAAGUCGAACGGUAACGGGCCUUCGGGUGCCGACGAGUGGCGAACGGGUGAGUAAUGCAUCGGAACGUACCUUUCAGUGGGGGAUAACGUAGCGAAAGUUACGCUAAUACCGCAUAUUCUGUGAGCAGGAAAGCAGGGGAUCGCAAGACCUUGCGCUGAUUGAGCGGCCGAUGUCAGAUUAGCUAGUUGGUGAGGUAAAGGCUCACCAAGGCGACGAUCUGUAGCGGGUCUGAGAGGAUGAUCCGCCACACUGGAACUGAGACACGGUCCAGACUCCUACGGGAGGCAACAGUGGGGAAUUUUGGACAAUGGGGGCAACCCUGAUCCAGCCAUGCCGCGUGAGUGAAGAAGGCCUU